rnacentral:rRNA from 1 species
UGGAGGGCAAGUCUGGUGCCAGCAGCCGCGGUAAUUCCAGCUCCAAUAGCGUAUAUUAAAGUUGUUGCAGUUAAAAAGCUCGUAGUUGAAUUUCGGGGUUCAUACGUUGGUCGGGCUUUUUGGUCUGUACUUAUGUAAUGGAUUCCUACCUUCUGAAUAACCGGCAUGUCAUUAAUUUGGUGCGCCGGGGAAGCAGGACUGUUACCUUGAAAAAAUUAGAGUGCUUAAAGCAGGCUAUCGCCUGAAUACAUUAGCAUGGAACAAUGAAAUAGGACGGCAUGGUUCUAUUUUGUUGGUUUCUAGGAUCACCGUAAUGAUUAAUAGGGAUAGUUGGGGGCAUUAGUAUUCAAUUGUCAGAGGUGAAAUUCUUGGAUUUAUUGAAGACUAACUUCUGCGAAAGCAUUUGCCAAGGAUGGUUUCAUUAAUCAAGAACGAAAGUUAGGGGAUCGAAGACGAUCAGAUACCGUCGUAGUCUUAACCAUAAACUAUGCCGACUAGGGAUCGGACGAUGUUAAUUUUUUAAUGACUCGUUCGGCGCCUUACGGGAAAC